AGAGUUUGAUCCUGGGUCAGAUUGAACGCUGGCGUAAGGCCUAACACAUGCAAUUCGAACGGUAACAGGAAGCAUCUUGCUGCUUCGCUGACGAGUGUCGGACGGGUGAGUAAUGUCUGGGAAGCUGCCUGAUGGAGGGGGAUAACUACUGGAAACGGUAGCUAAUACCGCAUAAUGUCGUAAGACCAAAGAGGGGGACCUUCGGGCCUCUUGCCAUCGGAUGUGCCCAGAUGGGAUUAGCUUGUUGGUGGGGUAACGGCUCACCAAGGCGACGAUCCCUAGCUGGUCUGAGAGGAUGACCAGCCACACUGGAACUGAGACACGGUCCAGACUCCUACGGGAGGCAGCAGUGGGGAAUAUUGCACAAUGGGCGCAAGCCUGAUGCAGCCAUGCCGCGUGUAUGAAGAAGGCCUUCGGGUUUUAAAGUACUUUCAGCGGGGAGGAAAGGGAGUAAGUUUAAUACCUUUUGCUCAUUGAAGUUACCCGCAGAAGAAGCACCGGCUAACUCCCGUGCCAGCAGCCGCGGUAAUACCGAGGGUGCAGCGUUAAUCC
rnacentral:rRNA from 1 species